AGAGUUUGAUCCUGGCUCAGAUUGAACGCUGGCGGCGUGCUUAACACAUGCAAGUCGUGCGAGAAAGGGGACUUCGGUCCCUGAGUAGAGCGGCGCACGGGUGAGUAACGCGUGGGUGAUCUACCCGGAAGUCUGGGAUAACGGUGGGAAACUGCCGCUAAUACCGGUUAAUCUUCCAAUUCGAAUUGGAGGGAAAGACGGCCUCUGCUUGCAAGCUGUCGCUUUCGGAUGAGCCCGCGUCCCAUUAGCUCGUUGGCGGGGUAACGGCCCACCAAGGCGAUGAUGGGUAGCCGGCCUGAGAGGGUGUACGGCCACACUGGGACUGAGAUACGGCCCAGACUCCUACGGGAGGCAGCAGCUAAGAAUAUUCCGCAAUGGACGAAAGUCUGACGGAGCGACGCCGCGUGGAUGAAGAAGGCCGAAAGGUUGUAAAAUCCUUUUGUCGGGGAAGAAUAAGCCUGGGAGGGAAUGCCCGGGUGAUGACAUGAACCGGCGAAUAAGCCCCGGCUAACUACGUGCCAGCAGCCGCGGUAACACGUAGGGGGCGAGCGUUGUUCGGAAUUACUGGGCGUAAAGGGCAUGUAGGCGGUUUUGUAAGCCUGGCGUGAAAUUCUGCAGCUUAACUGUAGGACUGCGCUGGGAACUGCGAGACUGGAGUCACGGAGAGGGAGCCAGAAUUCCAGGUGUAGGGGUGAAAUCUGUAGACAUCUGGAAGAAUACCAAUGGCGAAGGCAGGCUUCUGGCCGAUGACUGACGCUGAGGUGCGAAAGCGUGGGUAGCAAACAGGAUUAGAUACCCUGGUAGUCCACGCGGUAAACGAUGCACACUAGGUGCCGGGGCGGACGCUUCGGUGCCGGAGCCAACGUGGUAAGUGUGCCGCCUGGGGAGUAUGCUCGCAAGGGUGAAACUCAAAGGAAUUGACGGGGGCCCGCACAAGCGGUGGAGCAUGUGGUUUAAUUCGAUGGUACGCGAGGAACCUUACCUGGGCUUGACAUAUGGAGGGAUGCGGUAGAGAUACCGCAGCCGGGCAACCGGCCUUCAUACAGGUGCUGCAUGGCUGUCGUCAGCUCGUGCCGUGAGGUGUUGGGUUAAGUCCCGCAACGAGCGCAACCCCUAUCGUCAGUUACCAACAGGUAAAGCUGGGGACUCUGGCGAAACUGCCGGUGACAAACCGGAGGAAGGUGGGGAUGACGUCAAGUCCUCAUGGCCCUUAUGUCCAGGGCUACACACGUGCUACAAUGGUCGUUACAGAGUGAAGCGAAGCCGCGAGGUGGAGCAAAUCGCAGAAAAACGAUCUUAGUUCGGAUUGGAGUCUGAAACCCGACUCCAUGAAGGUGGAAUCGCUAGUAAUCGCGCAUCAGCAUGGCGCGGUGAAUACGUUCCCGGGCCUUGUACUCACCGCCCGUCA
rnacentral:rRNA from 1 species